rnacentral:rRNA from 1 species
CCUACGGGUGGCAGCAGUGGGGGAUAUUGCACAAUGGGGGAAACCCUGAUGCAGCGACGCCGCGUGGGUGAAGAAGCGCCUCGGCGCGUAAAGCCCUGUAAGCAGGGAAGAAAAUGACGGUACCUAAAGAAGAAGCCCCGGCUAACUACGUGCCAGCAGCCGCGGUAAUACGGAGGGGGCAAGCGUUAUCCGGAUUUACUGGGUGUAAAGGGGGCGCAGACGGGGUUGCAAGGCAGGAGUGAAAGCCCGUGGCUGAACCCUGGGACUGCACUUGAAACUGCGUUGCUGGAGUGCAGGAGGGGCAGGUGGAAUUCUUGGUGUAGCGGUGAAAUGCGUAGAUAUCAGGAGGAAUACUGGUGGCGAAGGCGACCUGCUGGACUGCAACUGACGUUGAUGCCCGAAAGCGUGGGGAGCAAACAGGAUUAGAUACCCUGGUAGUC